GUCUACGGCCAUACUACCCUGAACGCGCCCGAUCUCGUCUGAUCUUGGAAGCUAAGCAGGGUCGGGCCUGGUUAGUACUUGGAUGGGAGAAGUUAAGAUGUCUCCCGCCAGUAGGUC
rnacentral:rRNA from 1 species